AUUGAACGCUGGCGGCAUGCCUUACACAUGCAAGUCGAACGGUAACAGGUCUUCGGAUGCUGACGAGUGGCGAACGGGUGAGUAAUACAUCGGAACGUGCCUAGUAGUGGGGGAUAACUACUCGAAAGAGUGGCUAAUACCGCAUGAGAUCUACGGAUGAAAGCAGGGGAUCGCAAGACCUUGUGCUACUAGAGCGGCCGAUGGCAGAUUAGGUAGUUGGUGGGAUAAAAGCUUACCAAGCCGACGAUCUGUAGCUGGUCUGAGAGGACGCUCCGCCACACUGGGACUGAGACCCGGCACAGACUCCUACGGGAGGCAGCAGUGGGGAAUUUUGGAAAAUGGGCGAAAGCCUGAUCCAGCAAUGCCGCGUGCAGGAUGAAGGCCUUCGGGUUGUAAACUGCUUUUGUACGGAACGAAAAGCCCCGGGUUAAUACCCUGGGGUCAUGACGGUACCGUAAGAAUAAGCACCGGCUAACUACGUGCCAGCAGCCGCCGUAA
rnacentral:rRNA from 1 species